AGAGUUUGAUCCUGGCUCAGGAUGAACGCUGGCGGCGUGCCUAAUACAUGCAAGUCGAGCAAACAGAUAAGGAGCUUGCUCCUUUGACGUUAGCGGCGGACGGGUGAGUAACACGUGGGUAACCUACCUAUAAGACUGGAAUAACUCCGGGAAACCGGGGCUAAUGCCGGAUAACAUGUUGAACCGCAUGGUUCUACAGUGAAAGACGGUCUUGCUGUCACUUAUAGAUGGACCCGCGCCGUAUUAGCUAGUUGGUGGGGUAACGGCCUACCAAGGCGACGAUACGUAGCCGACCUGAGAGGGUGAUCGGCCACACUGGAACUGAGACACGGUCCAGACUCCUACGGGAGGCAGCAGUAGGGAAUCUUCCGCAAUGGGCGAAAGCCUGACGGAGCAACGCCGCGUGAGUGAUGAAGGUCUUCGGAUCGUAAAGCUCUGUUGUUAGGGAAGAACAAAUGUGUAAGUAACUGUGCACAUCUUGACGGUACCUAACCAGAAAGCCACGGCUAACUACGUGCCAGCAGCCGCGGUAAUACGUAGGUGGCAAGCGUUAUCCGGAAUUAUUGGGCGUAAAGCGCGCGUAGGCGGUUUUUUAAGUCUGAUGUGAAAGCCCACGGCUCAACCGUGGAGGGUCAUUGGAAACUGGAAAACUUGAGUGCAGAAGAGGAAAGUGGAAUUCCAUGUGUAGCGGUGAAAUGCGCAGAGAUAUGGAGGAACACCAGUGGCGAAGGCGGCUUUCUGGUCUGCAACUGACGCUGAUGUGCGAAAGCGUGGGGAUCAAACAGGAUUAGAUACCCCCGUAGUCC
rnacentral:rRNA from 1 species